rnacentral:rRNA from 1 species
UACAGAGGGUGCAAGCGUUAAUCGGAAUUACUGGGCGUAAAGCGUGCGUAGACGGUUACAUAAGUCAGAUGUGAAAGCCCCGGGCUCAACCUGGGAAUUGCAUUUGAGACUGUGUAGCUAGGUGCGGAAGAGGGAAGCGGAAUUUCCGGUGUAGCGGUGAAAUGCGUAGAUAUCGGAAGGAACACCAGUGGCGAAAGCGGCUUCCUGGUCCAGCACCGACGUUCAGGCACGAAAGCGUGGGAGCAAACAGGG